rnacentral:hammerhead_ribozyme from 2 species
CAGCUGACGAGUCCCAAAUAGGACGAAACGCGCGUCCUGGAU